rnacentral:misc_RNA from 1 species
GUGGGAGCCAGCCUGCUGGCGAUAGCGGUGUGUCAGGCAACAUGCAUGCUGGAUGUGCCAACCAAAUCGCCAGCAGGCUGGCUCCCAC